rnacentral:tRNA from 1 species
GAGGAUUUAGCUCAGUGGUAGAGCGCUUGCCUAGCAAGCACAAAGCCCUGGGUUCGGUCCCCAGCUUUG